GGGGCCGUAGUAUAGCCUGGUCCAGUAUUCCAGCUUCGGGAGUUGGUGACGGGGGUUCAAAUCCUCCCGGCCCCA
rnacentral:tRNA from 1 species